GUGGCUCUAGCUCAGUUGGAAGAGCGGCCGGUUGAAGCCCGGCAGGUCUCAGGUUCGAUUCCUGGGAGUCACA
rnacentral:tRNA from 1 species